UUAAAGUAAAGUAUUACUUGUUAUGAUUGCUGACAAAUACUGUACAUGAACACAUACUUAAAUGUAUUAUCAUAGCUGUGUACUGUGCACUGUGUUAUAAAUGAGUUAUUUAAUAUUCUUAUGCAGCUGAUACGUGCUCAAUAAGGGAACUUAAUGAAAAGUGUUACAGAAGAUCAGGAUCAGUUAUUGGAGGAAUCAUCAGGUGAGCUGCACAACAUUUCUCAACAGUUUUUCAAAAUUUGAAAAACUAAAAUUUAGAGAUUUGUUAUAAUACACCAAUUCAUUAAUACUCUAUAGUGACUAUUGCAGUCCUAACAGAGUAUAGCCUAGGUAACACAGAAAGUUUGCCAAUAAGUAUAGGCUCACUUGAGAUGUCCACAGGUUUAAAGCUUUCUUAUUUUGGAAGAGUCCUGCUUUAUAUUUACUCUGCGAAAGAUACAAUGAGUUUUACCGGUAUGAUGAAUGAAAGAAACUCAUAUAAUGAUGCAAUUCCUUCUACUCCAUUCUUGGUUCUACAGUAUGCCAGACUAGAUAAAAACAAACACCCUAAGAUCUCUCCCAAUAUGACCUUCAUGCGUAGCUAUAGCAACAAUGUUACGAGCGGAUAUUUCAUGGAAUACAGAUAUACUCACUGAGCAGUCUGGAGUCAAGCUUAAGGGGAAAAAAAUCAAUUACUUGCUGCUUAAAUUUAGCUCUAAAAAAAGAAAACGUUUAAUGAACGUAUUUGGAGAAUACUGGAUCGGGAAUUUCUGUCACAAAGACAAGAUACAAUUUAGCUUAUUGGAAAUAAAUACCAGUUAUAAUCUUUAAAUUUAGAAGAAUCCAGAAAUCAGCCCUCUAAACAGUUAUCUAGUUCUAUACAGUGUCACUUAUUUGUUGUUAUUUAAUGUAGUAUUAUUUGUAUCCAGUGGUAAUCUUCAAUAAAACAAAGUCUCUAAAGCUGCAUAUUAAAAUGUAGUGUGACCAUACCUGACACACCAGUGAUUUGAUUAAAAAGAUUGAACAAAC